CCUACGGGAGGCAGCAGUAAGGAAUAUUGGUCAAUGGACGCAAGUCUGAACCAGCCAUGCCGCGUGAAGGAUGAAGGUCCUCUGGAUUGUAAACUUCUUUUAUAGGGGACGAAAAAAGGGAAUUCUUUCUCGUCUGACGGUACCCUAGGAAUAAGCACCGGCUAACUCCGUGCCAGCAGCCGCGGUAAUACGGAGGGUGCAAGCGUUAUCCGGAUUUACUGGGUUUAAAGGGUGCGUAGGUGGGUCUGUAAGUCAGUGGUGAAAUCUCCGGGCUUAACCCGGAAACUGCCAUUGAUACUAUAGGUCUUGAAUACUCUGGAGGUAAGCGGAAUAUGUCAUGUAGCGGUGAAAUGCUUAGAUAUGACAUAGAACACCAAUUGCGAAGGCAGCUUACUACGGGGUCAUUGACACUGAGGCACGAAAGCGUGGGGAUCAAACAGGAUUAGAUACCCUGGUAGUCCACGCCCUAAACGAUGGAUACUCGACAUCAGCGAUACACUGUUGGUGUCUGAGCGAAAGCAUUAAGUAUCCCACCUGGGAAGUACGAUCGCAAGAUUGAAACUCAAAGGAAUUGACCGGNNGAGAGNGCGAGACGACGACGAGGAGAGG
rnacentral:rRNA from 1 species